rnacentral:rRNA from 1 species
GAUGAACGCUGGCGGCGUGCCUAAUACAUGCAAGUCGAGCGAACGGACGAGAAGCUUGCUUCUCUGAUGUUAGCGGCGGACGGGUGAGUAACAUGUGGAUAACCUACCUAUAAGACUGGGAUAACUUCGGGAAACCGGAGCUAAUACCGGAUAAUAUCUUGAACCGCAUGGUUCAAAAGUGACAGACGGUCUUGCUGUCACUUAUAGAUGGCUCCGCGCUGCAUUAGCUAGUUGGUAAGGUAACGGUUUCCCAAGGCGACGAUGCAUAGCCGACCUGCGAGGGGGAUCGGCCACACGGGAACUGAGACACGGUCCAGACUCCUACGGGAGGCAGCAGUAGGGAAGCUGCCGCAAUGGGCGAAAGCCGGACGGAGCAACGCCGCGUGAGUGAUGAAGGUCGUCGGAUCGUAAAACUCUGUUAUUAGGGAAGAACAUAUGUGUAGGUGACUGUGCACAGCUUGCCGUUACCUAAGCAGAAAGACACGGCUAACUACUGG